rnacentral:lncRNA from 1 species
UGAUUCGCGAUAUCUGGAUGAUGAUGAGGGACGGAGGGGUUGUCCACACGAAGCACGUGUUUAGAGAAGCUAAUGGAGCUACAAAUUGGGUGGCCACGUAUGUGGCUAACCAUGCCAAUAGCAUCCUGUGGGCGGGGGAUGCAGAGCUGCUUUAGGAGCUCCGUGAUAUUUUGUUUUCCGAUUUUAUUAGGUGCAUCCGUACAUGUGUUAUAUGAAUCACCCGGUAGCGGAAAAAAAAAAGAGCUACCUCCAAACCCAACUUAUUAUCUACUUUCAAAAAUAA